GACGAACGCUGGCGGCGUGCUUAACACAUGCAAGUCGAACGGUGAAGCGCCUUCCUUUUUGGUGGGUGUGGAUGAGUGGCGAACGGGUGAGUAACACGUGAGUAACCUGCCCCCUUCUUCUGGAUAACCGCAUGAAAGUGUGGCUAAUACGGGAUAUUCUGGGUCUGUCGCAUGAUGGGUCUGGGAAAGAUAUUGUUUCGGUGGGGGAUGGGCUCGCGGCCUAUCAGCUUGUUGGUGGGGUGAUGGCCUACCAAGGCGGUGACGGGUAGCCGGCCUGAGAGGGUGGACGGUCACACUGGGACUGAGACACGGCCCAGACUCAUACGGGAGGCAGCAGUGGGGAAUAUUGCACAAUGGGCGCAAGCCUGAUGCAGCGACGCCGCGUGAGGAAUGGAGGCCUUCGGGUUGUGAACCUCUUUCGCCAGUGAAGCAGGCCUGCCUCGUUUGUGGGUGGGUUGACGGUAGCUGGAUAAGAAGCGCCGGCUAACUACGUG
rnacentral:rRNA from 1 species